GAGAGGAAAAAUUUCCUUUUAGCAAGAAAAACCUCUAGCAGAACCAGACUCAGCAUGAGCCGCCAUCCGACUGACUGGACUGACUGGAGUUUGAGAGGAAAGAAAGGAGACAGAAAUUACUUUUGUGCAAAAGAAAGUCAAACAAUGUACAGAGUUCUGAGUUCGGUGAAUGGCUUCAACCAGAAGAGUGAAACAAAGAAACGAUUGGCCAGGAACACUUUCCAUGGAAACACGAGUGCACAAGGGAACCGACAGCAAAAGCUCCCACAAGGCUUCCAGGAAAGAGACAGAAUCACAGAAUCACUUGCCAGGAGUACUUUCUAUGGGAAAUGGAAACGGAAAGAGUCCGCAUAGUUUAUGCCAGAACUCAGUCAGGGGUUUUGUCCACAAGAGAAAAUCACCUAAAUAAAGAAGCAGUGGCCAAGAGCGCUUACUCUAGAACAAAAUAUGGACAAUACACAGAUGAACAGCUCAGUCGAUGGCUAAAUUCAGGUAAGACAUAGUUAAACAAAAAGUGUCUACGGUAGAAGGACUUUCUUAAAAGAAAGAAAAUAAAAUAGUGGACAAAAAAUUAUAGCAGCAGAAACUCUUUCCUACAGACGUUGACAUAGCUUAGAUCACUUUGUUUAUCCUUUCAGAAUUAUAAUCCUUGGAAUUGUAUCUACCUGAUGACUUUCUACACACGCUAGUGUAAUAUGUCACUACACCUCCUAGUUUAGUUACUUUCAUUUUAGCUUUCCCUAAAAGAUUUUUCAAGAUAGUGUUGCCAAUCUUUUUUGCCAAUCUCUGUCUCUGAGACCGACAGAGAAAUUAUGUAAGAUCUCCUAAAUUAUGGUAUGUUUUUACCCCAGUCUACAGAGAUAACAAAGCCAACAUAGAAAAGAGAUUCUACUUAGCCUUUUUCACAUUCCUCUAGUUACCUUUGUCACGCAUGAUGGAGUGUGGGGUUUACAAACCUGGCCUCCAGAACCUCUUUUGCUGACCCCGUUCAGUAGAGCCGCCAUUCCUCUUUUUGUGUGAGUGUAUGUAGUGACACCCUGCUUUUCAGUUCUGCUCCAGUCUGACAUUGUGCAGGGAUGAGAAGGACCAGACCUUAGAUGUCGCAAGCAGCGCCUGAUCUGGUUUUUAAAAGCACAUUCAGAGCCAUGCACCACAGAUUUCUGCUCGGGUUGCUGUGCUUUCUGGGACUCUCUGAGCUUAAUCAAAAUGACUAAGCUCAGGCUUUCUGUCGUGAAAAGCAGUCUAUUUCCUAAGCUUCAGAGCCAAAGCAUCAAUCAUUCAUUUAGAAAUCUUGAAUCCUUCAGAUAAAAUUGCUAGGACUUCUUUUGUGCUUUUGUGCUCUUUAAAUCUCCCUUUUUGUUAUUUUAUUUCUUUUCUAUCCAU